rnacentral:rRNA from 1 species
CACGUAGGGGGCAAGCGUUGUCCGGAUUUAUUGGGCGUAAAGAGCGUGUAGGCGGCCAUACAGGUCCGUUGUGAAAACUCGAGGCUCAACCUCGAGACGCCGGUGGAAACCGUAUGGCUAGAGUCCGGAAGAGGAGAGUGGAAUUCCUGGUGUAGCGGUGAAAUGCGCAGAUAUCAGGAAGAACACCCGUGGCGAAGGCGGCUCUCUGGGACGUGACUGACGCUGAGACGCGAAAGCGUGGGGAGCAAACAGG